rnacentral:rRNA from 2 species
AACGCCGCGUGAGUGAAGAAGGUCUUCGGAUCGUAAAACUCUGUUGUUAGAGAAGAACACGAGUGAGAGUAACUGUUCAUUCGAUGACGGUAUCUAACCAGCAAGUCACGGCUAACUACGUGCCAGCAGCCGCGGUAAUACGUAGGUGGCAAGCGUUGUCCGGAUUUAUUGGGCGUAAAGGGAUCGCAGGCGGUCUUUUAAGUCUGAUGUGAAAGCCUUCGGCUUAACCGGAGUAGUGCAUUGGAGACUGGAAGACUUGAGUGCAGAAGAGGAGAGUGGAACUCCAUGCGUAGCGGUGAAAUGCGUAGAUAUAUGGAAGAACACCAGUGGCGAAAGCGGCUCUCUGGUCUGUAACUGACGCUGAGGUUCGAAAGCGUGGGUAGCAAACAGGAUUAGAUACCCUGGUAGUCCACGCCGUAAACGAUGAAUGCUAGGUGUUGGAGGGUUUCCGCCCUUCAGUGCCGCAGCUAACGCAAUAAGCAUUCCGCCUGGGGAGUACGACCGCAAGGUUGAAACUCAAAGGAAUUGACGGGGGCCCGCACAAGCGGUGGAGCAUGUGGUUUAAUUCGAAGCAACGCGAAGAACCUUACCAGGUCUUGACAUCCUUUGACCACCUAAGAGAUUAGGCUUUCCCUUCGGGGA